CCUGAAUCAGAGACACUGUGUCUGCUCUAGGAACUCGGAUGUUGUUCGCGGGUUGCAGGGAUGGGACUGCAUUUGUUCCGGAAUAUGCGACAUGCUGGAUGUGGCGGCCCCCCACGCUUUGGGAGGGUAUAACGGACUGGUGGGGAUACAGCAACGAGUGAAGGAACGGGUGGGGCAGGAAUCGUCGACUUUCAUCACCAAGUCCUUUCGCGGUGUUGCGGCAACUGCGCAGACGCAGGAGGAGACGGCGGAGGUAAGAGAGGACAAGCGGGCGCGUUUUAAGCGUUCGUGGGAGAGAGUGAGAGUGACGUUUUCUUCAUGCAUACAAGGAGUAGCGCGAGGCCGAUUGGCUCAUCGCAGUGUUUUCAGUUGGUGACACGGUUUCAUUGGUUGUCUGUGACACGCAGCUAUGUGAGCUACUGCGUUGUAAGGACUAGCAGGCAACCGCUCUCAACACUAUUUUAUGCAUCUAUCCCCGCAUAAUUCCACGGGCUAGGAAGCUUCACUUGGCCAUGUUUCUCGCAGCGACCCUUGUGCGCUAAAGUACGUUGUUAAACUGUCGGGAAGUUCUCUCACGUGCUGUUGCUGCGCCAUGCAAACGUGUCUAGGCACAGGCCAAUACUGCCCUGGCCUGCACAUGACAGUGAACAAGACCCCUAUGGCCACCUUCGGGUAUUCCGUGAAAGGCCCCUACCGCUCGGAGCACGUAACAGGAAGUCAUCUUCGACGGCCAAUUCCAUCGUCUGGUGUCCUUGGUUUCGUCGGUGCGUUGAGUCUCGUUGCUGCUAAUUGCCUCUUCCGUCUGUUUUGCUUCGCGGCCUGCGUCUCUGUGGUAAAGCGAAGAGCUGGUGUAGCGAAGCCAUGUUCUUAGAUGAGUGUUACCAUUGAUCGCGCUAUCUUACAUGCGUGUUGCAAUAAGUGAGUUUUCUGGAAUUCUUUGGUGUCGCUUGUUUUCCGUGUACGAGGUUGUUGCUGUCAAUACAAUGAAGCGUCGACAUGGUUUGCGGUUCCCCCUGGACACACGGGCCAGUGUCACAGGCAUCUAUUUUCGCCGCAAUAAGUCCAAUGUAGGACCUGGUGCGUUAUAUUCGUUGGGGAGUAUUCUGGCGGUGAGCGUGGGGGGGUUGUAAGCAUGGCCAGACAGGAGGGGCCUCUGAAGCGUCCACCACGAUGGCUGUGGGACUAUUCACAGGUGCCCGUAUCCAAAUGCGACCGAAUCCGUGAUGCGUUGUGUCAUAUUACGAGGCCUGUGGUCAAGCUAUUUGAUGUCCUGUCUGUUGAGAGGCUUCUCAUAGUGGCGGUUUUUGCGUACGGGAUGUUACUUACGUCUCGUGGUGCGUUUCAUUUUCUCCACUUGCGCUGACUGCGCCUCGUCACCGGUUUUCCACUGGCGCGCCCAGGCGGUAGGCAGCGGUCCAGUGCCGGUGUAUUUAAGCGAUGAGGAGUGAUAAGGUGGAGCAAGGGUGAGCUACGGAGCGUCUGGGCGUGCUGUGCAUACGCAUAGCGGACGGACCCAGACGCAGCAGUGAGCCAGUGGCAGCUGCAAUGACGAGAUGGUUUUGAGAUGUUGGGGUUGCAAAUGUGUGAGUAGCUGUGCAAAUUCAUCUUGAGUAUCGACCACAAUAGUCGUCCAUAUGUGCAUCGUUUUAUAAUAAAAAAGAUAUUGGAUGCUGAGUUGCAGCAAUUCUCUCUGUCCUCCGAAAUGCAAGGCCGUGGUGUCACACACAUGGGAUCAGAGAAACUAGGUUGGAGUGCAGCGCUGGUGACGAAAAUGGUGUUAUCGCGGAUGACCUUCCGCAGCUGGUCGCCGGUGUUGCAUUUCUCCUGUCUCUAACUGCCGAGGAAGGCGAAUGCCAGAUGGCGGAGCCGGAGUACGUUGAUUGCCACCAAGAAGCGACUUCUGCAGGCUGAGCUCGCAGCCAUUGGUGAGAGGGAUCAGGCCGCCGCUAUGGUUGUGACCAGCGAACACUGUGUAACAAUGAAGGGCACCCUCUCUAGUCUGCUCGCCUUUUACUAAUACCACAUUAGUCACAGCGGUUCUAAGAGCAACCUAUUGCGCCUCACUUGCAGAAAUCGGCAGUAAGGAGUGCUGACAUUGUGAGAGGGGUCGUGGAAAGGUUACACUCUUGUAGAAGAAGAUGAGCAGCCAGAGGUAGGAGCCGUCUCACCCUUCGUGACAGAAUAAAUGCCGAGCGGAGGAAGGGGGACUACUCCAUCGCUUCUGGAAUAUCUGCGGGGACAAUUUUGGUGGAAAGCGGAUAUGCCCACCUCCCGUCUUGGUGAACGGAGUACUGUGCUGGGAGGGCCGGCUCGUGUGGUAUUGCUUCCGGCAUAUCGGUAUAACACUUAUGUAGCAAAUGACUGGUGGCACAGCGGUGGGCAUUGUUAUCCUAAGGGGCUGCCAUAAGCUAGUUCGAGUAAUUUGACGCCGGAAGGCUUGCCCCGGCGAACUCGAUGACAACGAAUCCACGACGUAGGAAUCGCGACCAUUCAUUUGUCACCAACCGUUAGUGACUGGUAAAUAUGAAAUCACUCAAUGUGUUCCCGCAGAAGAGCAAAUCCUCGAAGAAAACGCUGCCUAUCAUUCUUGUCGGAAUUCUCAGUUGUCGCCGUAUUCAGUCGUCGUGUGUAUGUUGACACCGCCGACAUCCAUGGUGUCGUAUUGGUCACUGGUUGAAAUAGGGUGCACCACCUCGUGUAUUUGAUUAUUUUCUUUGUUGCUAAGGCCUAGCCACUGGCAGUAAGGAUGACGUUCUAGACUUUCUUACUUGUGCAGGGAUGAAAGAGUCUGCAGCAGUUCCUCUCAUAGCUCCGCUGCAUGAUGGUCAUUGUCUCUCGCCGCAGAAUUGCACAGUGAAACACUGGACCAAUUGUAAACGGUGGACUAGCAGUGUUGGUGUCGGCUCCAGUGCUCACAUUUCAUGAUAGAAGAGGCGGAGGUAGGCGUGCAUUUCUUGGCCAAGAGGAUGUGUACGCUGAUUGGGGCACGGUUGCUGGGGGAAGGGGUGCUCUAGACGCUGUAGAGGGGAAGAGAACCGUAGGAGAUGGCAGGACGCAAUGCGUCGCGUGCUGCUUGAUGGGGUAGCAUCGCGUCUGUUCAGCUGGGCGCAUGUCACGUCUCUCCGCGACUUGCAACCGAUGACGCGCGACGGGUUCCAGUUGUGCCAAUUGUGUUCACGGGCGUGCGUAUGUUUCAGAAGAUUUUAACGGACCCUUGAUAAAAUUCUGAGAAUAAGAGUGAGGGACAUUCUGACUCUCCUCACGUAUACUGAAUGUGAGACUGCUUACCGGCAACGAAUGUGAAUGUUAACACCCGGUAGUACUGCACCUUCAGGUGUUCCGUUCUUCCGUGUUGCACUCUCCUUCCUGCUAACAAUUCCUUCUCUCGUUUUUUGAUCUUUUGACGGUUCGUGUUGAUAUCCGUGUAGAAGUGAAAGAGGCUGACUCGCCUUACGGAUAUUUCUCGUGAUCUGUUUCCUCUUCAUUCUCGUCUGAUGCGAAAAUUUCGUUUUAUCAUACAACAAUUGCCAGUCGCGUCUGGGGGAGCUCCGUUUGGCUAUUGUUGGGCACGCCUCACACCUGCCACGAAAAUUAAAAUGUGUGGUGGGAAUCAGGAAUCUGUAGCUUGCGGUUCCAGUUGGCUCAGGUCAUCCCUCGUCUACCUUCAGCUAGUACCUGUGAUUGUUCCAAAGUCUUUUCUUCUCCAGCCGUUACUCUUGGAUACACCAGCUGUGUGCGCCAUGUGUGGGUGUUCGACGAUGAAUCCAGCUAGGGAGGGGAACACCAGCGGCUAGAAAAUGUAGGAACGCAGAUGAGCCGGAACGGAGCUAAAUCAGAUGCUUGAUGAAGAAAGGGUGUUCUUGGAGAGAAGUCUUCCAACCUUACACCUAAUUCCACAGAGUUCCUGAGUGGAGACCGAUAUCGCGUCCGGUGGGUUUUUGCUUUAAGAACAAACAAGGGCCGGGUGCCCGAAAAGAUUGCUCGCCAAGCUCGCGUAGAAGAGAAGGGUCUGAGUUAUCAUGAAGGUCUGGCAGCAGACAUCAGCGGAACUAGGACAUGUGGGUGAGAGUGCUAUAGGACGACAUCGGAAGACCAGUCAGCCCAUUCGGUGUCUGCGGAAUGUGUUGUCGUUCAUAGCGAGGCGUCACGGUGGUACGGGUCGAAAGGGGCUGGGCACUAUCGUGGUGUGUAGUAUCGCGUGAAAAGAAUUGUUUUGUGCCUUUCGGGAAUUGAGUACCAGACGCACUGCGGCGAAUGUCACUGGGUUGCUGCGCUGGAGAAGACUGCAGCAGCGUGCUUGAGAGGUUUCAAAUUUCUCUAUGAUGCGCCAAUAUAAUGCUAGACGCCGCGUAAAGACCUGAGACUAGGAUUCUCGUACGGAAGCAUAGGUUGAUGGCGUCGUGUUGGACGAAUUCGUGAAAACGCUUUUCAGGAGAUGUAGGAACGGCCGGAUGAGACAAGCAGUAUAUAGAGCGUGUGUCAGGGUAACGUUGCACAGGAUCUGCCGCGUUUAUCUGAUACCGGAUUGCGCGCGUGCACCCGUAUCGAUCGUCGAAUGGAAACAGAGACUCUUUCGAAGAACGAAAAAAUUGGCGGAAAAAGUCCACGUCCAAAUCUAUCCUAAAUGGAAAGACAAGUCUGUUGAAAACCGGAUGGACGGUAAAUGAGACAAAUAUCGUAUCACAAAGCUGGUGAGCAUGGUACAAUGAUAGGUGCAUGUUGUUUGAUGUGGUUGCCUAGAUAAUAGAGUGGACAUUUCUCUCAUGGCAUGUACCAGUUUGUCCCGCAUAAACUGUCGCUUCCGUCCGUCACUCCUGAGGGCUCUUUUUCGAGCUCGUAGGGAGCUAUCUAAAUGGAGCCCUCUAACGUUAUGGUCAGGUACUACCGUGUGUUCUUACGGCUGACAGGUUACAAUGAAAUGGCUGAGGAGAACGGGACAUAACCGUUGAAAAAAGGUUUGCAUCAAAGAAGCGAAAACUGCAAAGCAAAACAUGUUGUGUAUUUGACAGAGUUGGUGCUGGUGCGCGUGGCUCGCGUGUUGAUGACAGUCGACACCGCCCUCUGUCAUAUCUCCGUCCAGGCGAGUUUGUCGGUGAACAUAUGGUGUUUAUGCUGGUCUCGAUCAAAUAUCCUUAGGGGACGUCUGUAGGUGGCAUCCGUGAGUUUCACGAAUGUGUGCCCACCGUUCUCAGGGUGCCCUGGAGAAUACCACUGAUAUGGUGUGCCCACAAAUGAACAGGACAUGUGCACCAAAUGUAGCGCCACAAUGACUAUGAACGGAAUUAGCACUUUUAAUUCCGUCGUUUUGGGCUGCGGUAAUCAUGCAUUCUUUAUGAAAGUGCAUCGGUCACACCAUAUCCCCAGCGUAAAAAAGCUAUACAAAGUCGGUAACUUGUGGUGACCAUAUCCCAACGAUCACUCCCAUUUUCCAGUAAAUGUAGCCUCCCGAUAAAGCUCUGUAUCCUUAAAUACGUGAAAAUCAGAGACGGAUAUCAUGCUAGAAGCUUGAGACCAGCGGGCUGCUGAUUUUGAAUGAGGAUCGCCCUUUUUCAGUUGUAAGAUCUCCGGGCGUCCGGGUGCUUUACGGUUGUCAGUUAAGUGUGAAGGUGCUGCCCAAACUGAAAAGUUUGAACUCCCAUUGACAUGUGUGUUUCCGUGAGGGGAGAAGCGGGAGGAUGUUUUUGCUCCACUUUUUGCCUGACCCUCAUGACAGUAACCACACGUAUUUAUGUGCGUCCACCUAAAGCAAGAAAGGCUUCUUUAUCGCAGAUCUCUUCUGAUUUUGGGCGUGUUUUUUCGCCUUGGCUCAUUUGUCGUCAGGUGCGUGAAGCAACAUCAGAAGGAAAACAACUUCACUUGUAAUUGCGAACUCGGAAGAAAGCGGCAGCCAGACGGAACGCCAUGCUGGACCAGUAGGCCAAGCAGCGGCUGAGACCGAGCGACAUUUUCUGUCUGUCCUGUUGGGUUGCCAUGGACUCGUCUUUGUUACCGACGUCCCAGGCCGGCAUUGGGCGAAACGUUUGAGGACAAUGUGAAAUGAUUCAUCAUGGAAACUAGCAGAAACAGAAGACAGGUGGAUUUUCUCUGCAGUCAGUCGUGAAUGGCAAAGUCAUCAGAACUGGCAUCUUCCAAAACGUGUGACCGAUGUUAUCUUCGUCAACAUUCUAUUUACACAAGUCUACGUAGAGGGAAGAAUGCCGUUUGUUGUGUGUGCAUCGGUGUACAAUAAUAUCUUUCCCGUAUGCUUUUCUAUGUGAAUGGUAAACCCUGUCUCAUUUCUUGCUAUCUGAAGGUUAAAUAAGCACAAAAACUCGCGAUAUCGUGAUGAAGUGUUUUGCGUGAC
rnacentral:lncRNA from 1 species